GAUGAGCCCGCACUUGAUUAGUUAGUUGGUAGGGUAAUGGCCUACCAAGACUGUGAUCAAUAGCUGAUUUGAGAGGAUGAUCAGCCACAUUGGGACUGAGACACGGCCCAAACUCCUACGGGAGGCAGCAGUGGGGAAUCUUGCACAAUGGAGGAAACUCUGAUGCAGCGAUGCCGCGUGUGUGAAGAAGGCCCUAGGGUUGUAAAGCACUUUAAGUUGGGAAGAAAAGUUAUUGGUUAAUACCCAAUAGCCGUGACAUUACCAUCAGAAUAAGGACCGGCUAAUUCCGUGCCAGCAGCCGCGGUAAUACGGAAGGUCCAAGCGUUAAUCGGAAUUACUGGGCGUAAAGCGCGCGUAGGUGGUUUAUUAAGUUGGAUGUGAAAUCCCCGGGCUCAACCUGGGAACUGCAUCCAAAACUGAUUCACUAGAGUACGAUAGAGGGAGGUAGAAUUCACAGUGUAGCGGUGGAAUGCGUAGAUAUUGUGAAGAAUACCAAUGGCGAAGGCAGCCUCCUGGAUCUGUACUGACACUGAGGUGCGAAAGCGUGGGUAGCGAACAGGAUUAGAUACCCUGGUAGUCCACGCCGUAAACGAUGUCAACUAGCUGUUGGGGAACUAUGUUCUUCAGUGGCGCAGCUAACGUAGUAAGUUGACCGCCUGGGGAGUACGGCCGCAAGGCUAAAACUCAAAUGAAUUGACGGGGACCCGCACAAGCGGUGGAGCAUGUGGUUUAAUUCGAUGCAACGCGAAAAACCUUACCUAUACUUGACAUACCUGGAAUGCUUUGUAAUGAAGUAGUGCCUUCGGGAGCCAGGAUACAGGUGCUGCAUGGCUGUCGUCAGCUCGUGUCGUGAGAUGUUCCGUUAAGUCGGAUAACGAGCGCAACCCUUACCCUUAUUUGCCAGCGAUUCGGUCGGGAACUAUAAGGGGACUGCCGGUGAUAAACCGGAGGAAGGUGAGGACGACGUCAAGUCAUCAUGGCCCUUACGUAUAGGGCUACACACGUGCUACAAUGGGGAAUACAGACGGACGCUAAGCCGCGAGGUGGUGCUAAUCCUAGAAAAUUCUUCGUAGUCCGGAUUGGAGUCUGCAACUCGACUCCAUGAAGUCGGAAUCGCUAGUAAUCGCGAAUCAGCAUGUCGCGGUGAAUACGUUCUCGGGUCUUGUACACACCGCCCGUCAUACCAUGGAAGUGGAUUGCACCAGAAGUAGAUAGUCUAACCUUCGGGAGGGCGUUUACCACGGUGUGCUUCAUGACUGGGGUAAAGUCGUAACAAGGUAACCGUA
rnacentral:rRNA from 1 species